GGGAGUCCGAAAGGUGACGACCUUCGGGAGCCAUUACAGGUGUUGCAUGGCUGUCGUCAGCUCGUGUCGUGAGAUGUCGGUUAAGUCCGCUAACGAGCGCAACCCUCGCUGUGUGUUAUAUGUGUCACACAGGACUGCUGGUAUUAAGCCGGAGGAAGGUGGGGACGACGUCAAGUCAGCAUGACCUUUAUAUCCAGGGCUACACACACGCUACAAUGGUCAGUACAAUGGGUUGCCAAGCCGCGAGGCGGAGCCAAUCCUAAAAAGCUGGCCUCAGUUCAGAUUGCAGUCUGAAACUCGACUGCAUGAAGUCGGAGUUGCUAGUAAACGCAGGUCAGCUAUACUGCGUUGAAUACGUUCCCGGGGCUU
rnacentral:rRNA from 1 species